GGGAAAGAGCCUAGAGGCACAAGGAGA
rnacentral:piRNA from 1 species